rnacentral:rRNA from 1 species
GUGAGGAAUAUUGUGCAAUGGAGGCAACUCUGACGCAGCCAUGCCGCGUGCAGGAAGAAGGCGCUACGCGUUGUAAACUGCUUUUAACCGGGAAGAAACCCCAGGACGUGUCCUGGGUUGACGGUACCGGAGGAAUAAGCACCGGCUAACUUCGUGCCAGCAGCCGCGGUAAUACGAAGGGUGCAAGCGUUAUCCGGAUUCAUUGGGUUUAAAGGGUGCGUAGGCGGAGCGUUAAGUCAGUGGUGAAAUCCUGCAGCUUAACUGUAGACUUGCCAUUGAUACUGGCGCUCUUGAGUGCGCUUGAAGUGGGCGGAAUGUGCCGUGUAGCGGUGAAAUGCUUAGAUAUGGCACAGAACACCAAUUGCGAAGGCAGCUCACUAAGGCGAUACUGACGCUGAGGCACGAAAGCGUGGGGAUCGAACAGGAUUAGAAACCCCUGUAGUCC